rnacentral:rRNA from 1 species
UACGAAGGUCCCAAGCGUUAUCCGGAUUUAUUGGGCGUAAAGGGUGCGUAGGCGGCGCGGUAAGUCGGGUGUGAAAUCUUGGAGCUUAACUCCGAAACUGCAUUCGAUACUGCCGUGCUUGAGGACUGGAGAGGAGACUGGAAUUUACGGUGUAGCGGUGAAAUGCGUAGAUAUCGUAAGGAAGACCAGUGGCGAAGGCGGGUCUCUGGACAGUUCCUGACGCUGAGGCACGAAGGUCAGGGGAGCAAACGGG